GCUGUGAGUGGAUGUCUAGUUGUCAUUAUGUGCCUCAUUUACACCUUGAUGAAGAAAGCUUCACAUAUUUGCAACGAUGCUGUGACGGGAUGUGGUGCUCAGCCGAAAGAACAGAGAGAUGCACACUGUUUGGUUUAUUCUGCCCCAACCUUCACCAAGACCAAUGUUGGAAAAGCAGGAAGACGAAAAAUAAAAGCAACACA